GACGAACGCUGGCGGCGUGCUUAACACAUGCAAGUCGAACGGAAAGGCCCUGCUUUUGUGGGGUGCUCGAGUGGCGAACGGGUGAGUAACACGUGAGUAACCUGCCCUUGACUUUGGGAUAACUUCAGGAAACUGGGGCUAAUACCGGAUAGGAGCUCCUGCUGCAUGGUGGGGGUUGGAAAGUUUCGGCGGUUGGGGAUGGACUCGCGGCUUAUCAGCUUGUUGGUGGGGUAGUGGCUUACCAAGGCUUUGACGGGUAGCCGGCCUGAGAGGGUGACCGGCCACAUUGGGACUGAGAUACGGCCCAGACUCCUACGGGAGGCAGCAGUGGGGAAUAUUGCACAAUGGGCGGAAGCCUGAUGCAGCAACGCCGCGUGCGGGAUGACGGCCUUCGGGUUGUAAACCGCUUUCGCCUGUGACGAAGCGUGAGUGACGGUAAUGGGUAAAGAAGCACCGGCUAACUACGUGCCAGCAGCCGCGGUGAUACGUAGGGUGCGAGCGUUGUCCGGAUUUAUUGGGCGUAAAGGGCUCGUAGGUGGUUGAUCGCGUCGGAAGUGUAAUCUUGGGGCUUAACCCUGAGCGUGCUUUCGAUACGGGUUGACUUGAGGAAGGUAGGGGAGAAUGGAAUUCCUGGUGGAGCGGUGGAAUGCGCAGAUAUCAGGAGGAACACCAGUGGCGAAGGCGGUUCUCUGGGCCUUUCCUGACGCUGAGGAGCGAAAGCGUGGGGAGCGAACAGGCUUAGAUACCCUGGUAGUCCACGCUGUAAACGGUGGGUACUAGGUGUGGGGUCCAUUCCACGGGUUCCGUGCCGUAGCUAACGCUUUAAGUAUCCCGCCUGGGGAGUACGGCCGCAAGGCUAAAACUCAAAGGAAUUGACGGGGCCCCGCACAAGCGGCGGAGCAUGCGGAUUAAUUCGAUGCAACGCGUAGAACCUUACCUGGGUUUGACAUGGAUCGGGAGCGCUCAGAGAUGGGUGUGCCUCUUUUGGGGUCGGUUCACAGGUGGUGCAUGGCUGUCGUCAGCUCGUGUCGUGAGAUGUUGGGUUAAGUCCCGCAACGAGCGCAACCCUUGUUCACUGUUGCCAGCACGUUAUGGUGGGGACUCAGUGGAGACCGCCGGGGUCAACUCGGAGGAAGGUGGGGAUGACGUCAAGUCAUCAUGCCCCUUAUGUCCAGGGCUUCACGCAUGCUACAAUGGCUGGUACAGAGAGUGGCGAGCCUGUGAGGGUGAGCGAAUCUCGGAAAGCCGGUCUCAGUUCGGAUUGGGGUCUGCAACUCGACCUCAUGAAGUCGGAGUCGCUAGUAAUCGCAGAUCAGCAACGCUGUGGUGAAUACGUUCCCGGGGCU
rnacentral:rRNA from 1 species